UACAGAGGGGGCAAGCGUUGUUCGGAAUUACUGGGCGUAAAGGGCGCGUAGGCGGCCUUCUAAGUCGAACGUGAAAUCCCCGGGCUCAACCCGGGAACUGCGUCCGAUACUGGAAGGCUUGAAUCCGGGAGAGGGAUGCGGAAUUCCAGGUGUAGCGGUGAAAUGCGUAGAUAUCUGGAGGAACACCGGUGGCGAAGGCGGCAUCCUGGACCGGCAUUGACGCUGAGGCGCGAAAGCCAGGGGAGCAA
rnacentral:rRNA from 1 species